UUGCUCCGUCUAUUCAUCCCUUUCUUCCCUCAAACCCCGGGCAACCACCGAUCUUUUUACUGUCUGCAUAGUUUUGCCUUUUCCAGAAUGUCAUAUAGUUGGAAUUGUACCAGAGGAGUCUGUCGGGAAAACAUGCACCCUCUACAAAGGAGUGAUUCAGAUGACCUGGUCUCAGCUUCCAGCUCCUCUGCUCUCCAGCCGUUCACACACUCCCCAUCACAGGAAGAUUUGUUAAAAGCCAACCAAGAAAGAGAGAGAAUUUGAGAUCCUGCACAAACAAUCCUAGAAGGUGCCAGAAGCUGCCAGAAGCUUCUUCUUUUCCAAGAAGCCACCACUUUGACUGCAGCCACAAAUGACUGCCCACUCCUGCAGGAAGACAGGAGGACCCCAGAGCCCUAUGUGCUCUGCCCCUGUCUACAGACCUGCCUCUCACCGCAUGCCCACAGUCACCACAUGUCAGCCAUGGCAAACUACCUGGGGACCCCCAAGCGACCUGCUUGUGGGGCUCUGCACCCUGGUGCCAGUUCUUCUUUUAGCCUGGGGUCCUCCACCUGCCCUCUGCCUCAAUGGCUCAGUAGAGCCUUCAGAGCUCACAUAUCAGCUCCUCCAAAAAGUGGUGCCGGACCCUGCCUCCCGUCCCUGAAAACCGAGCUUGCACUGUCACAUUUAACAUGUUGUGCCUGACCUAUUCUUCUACACUUCUGUCCUCGUGACGUGGGGUCUGCUGGAGGCCAGUGAAUGUGAAUUUUAUCUUUGUACUUGCAGGGCACAACACGACACUAGGUAUGGAUUAGAUGCUCAGUAACAAUUUUAAACUGGUUUAAAAGUAAUUCCAACAUUGCAGAAGGGUCUAAGGCAAAAAAUGAAUAAAAGUUUCCUGCCACUUCUCAAUCUCAUUCUUCAGAGGCAUCCACAUACACGAGGAAAGCAGUCUUCUAGAUAUUGACUACGCCUGAAUGACCAUACUACAUGUGCACUCAGGCACCGAGCACAUAAGCAUAUGCACAGGACCAUAUAAGCCACGCUGUCCCAUGCUUGCCCUUUUCACUUUAGCAAUGUAUCUUUUUUUUUUUUUUUAAGAGGCAGAGUCUUGCUUUAUCACUCAGGCUGAAGUGCAGUGGUGCAAUCAUAGCUCACUAUAGCCUUGAGCUCCUGGCUUUGAGUGAUCCUCCCACCUCAGCCUCCUGAGUAGUUGGGAUUAUAGGUGAGCCACCAUGCCUGUCCAGCAAUUGAGCUUUAUUUUAUUUUUUUGAGAUGGAGUCUCCCUCUGUUGCCCAGGCUAGAGUGCAGAGGUACAGUGCAACCUCUGCUUCCUGGGUUCAAGCGAUUCUCCUGCCUCAGCCUCCUG
rnacentral:lncRNA from 1 species